rnacentral:rRNA from 1 species
AANGGCGAANCUGAUGCAGCAACGCCGCGUGAAGGGAUGACGGCCUUCGGGUUGUAAACCUCUUUUAGUAGGGAAGAAGCGAAAGUGACGGUACCUGCAGAAAAAGCACCGGCUAACUACGUGCCAGCAGCCGCGGUAAUACGUAGGGUGCAAGCGUUGUCCGGAAUUAUUGGGCGUAAAGAGCUCGUAGGCGGCUUGUCGCGUCUGCUGUGAAAACCCGGAGCUCAACUCCGGGCCUGCAGUGGGUACGGGCAGGCUAGAGUGCGGUAGGGGAGAUUGGAAUUCCUGGUGUAGCGGUGGAAUGCGCAGAUAUCAGGAGGAACACCGAUGGCGAAGGCAGAUCUCUGGGCCGCUACUGACGCUGAGGAGCGAAAGCAUGGGGAGCGAACAGGAUUAGAUACCCUGGUAGUCCAUGCCGUAAACGUUGGGAACUAGAUGUAGGGCCUGUUCCACGGGUUCUGUGUCGUAGCUAACGCAUUAAGUUCCCCGCCUGGGGAGUACGGCCGCAAGGCUAAAACUCAAAGGAAUUGACGGGGGCCCGCACAAGCGGCGGAGCAUGCGGAUUAAUUCGAUGCAACGCGAAGAACCUUACCAAGGCUUGACAUAUAGAAGAACACUGCAGAGAUGCAGGACUCUUUGGACACUUCUAUACAGGUGGUGCAUGGUUGUCGUCAGCUCGUGUCGUGAGAUGUUCGGUUAAGUCCGGCAACGAGCGCAACCCUCGUCCUAUGUUGCCAGCACGUGAUGGUGGGAACUCAUGGGAUACUGCCGUGGUCAACACGGAGGAAGGUGGGGAUGACGUCAAAUCAUCAUGCCCCUUAUGUCUUGGGCUUCACGCAUGCUACAAUGGCCGGUACAAAGGGCUGCGAUACCGUAAGGUGGAGCGAAUCCCAAAAAGCCGGUCUCAGUUCGGAUUGGGGUCUGCA